GAUGAACGCUGGCGGCGUGCCUAAUACAUGCAAGUCGAGCGAAGCGAGGACGGGUGAGCAACACGUGGUUAACCCCCUAUAAGACUGGGAUAACUUCGGGAAAACGGAGCUAAACCGGAUACUUAUCGAAGUUUUCGCGCUGCAUUAGCUAGUUGGUAAGGUAACCGCUUACCAAGGCAACGUUGCAUAGCCGACCUGAGAGGUAGAUCGGCCACACUGGAACUGAGACACGGUCCAGACUCCUACGGGAGGCAGCAGUAGGGAAUCUUCCGCAAUUGGCGAAAGCCUGACGGAGCAACGCCGCUUGAGUGAUGAAGGUCUUCGGAUCGUAAAACUCUGUUAGUAGGGAAGCGGUACCUAAACAGAAAGCAACGGCUAACUACGUGCCUGCAGCCGCGGUAAUUC
rnacentral:rRNA from 1 species